rnacentral:rRNA from 1 species
GUACGGGAGGCAGCAGUGGGGAAUAUUGGACAAUGGGCGCAAGCCUGAUCCAGCCAUGCCGCGUGGGUGAAGAAGGCCUUCGGGUUGUAAAGCCCUUUUGUCCGGAAAGAAAAGCUCGCGGUUAAUACCCGUGGGUUCUGACGGUACCGGAAGAAUAAGCACCGGCUAACUUCGUGCCAGCAGCCGCGGUAAUACGAAGGGUGCAAGCGUUACUCGGAAUUACUGGGCGUAAAGCGUGCGUAGGUGGUUCGUUAAGUCUGUCGUGAAAUCCCCGGGCUCAACCUGGGAAUGGCGAUGGAUACUGGCGGGCUAGAGUGCGGUAGAGGAGAGUGGAAUUCCCGGUGUAGCAGUGAAAUGCGUAGAGAUCGGGAGGAACAUCAGUUGCGAAGGCGGCUCUCUGGACCAGCACUGACACUGAGGCACGAAAGCGUGGGGAGCAAACAGGAUUAGAUACCCGGGUAGUCCU